rnacentral:lncRNA from 1 species
AGAGCAAGGGCUCUGUGGCCCACAGGAAGAGCGCCUGCAACAUCAGAGACCUGGGGCUCAAAAGACAAGGUCUGGGGACCAAGACAUGGGAAUGGUAUCUGGUGGAAUGUCCUCAGGAAGAAAGAAGAAGCGAUCGGUCAACGUGGAGAAUGCAAAAUAGGAAGAGCAGAGGCAGAAGAUGGAUGCAGGGAAGGUGAGGAUGUAGGGCAGGCUCGGUGUCACAAAAAAGGAUGGAUGGAGGUCCAUGGAGAACGGAUUCGCUUCACUGUACAGAAGAAAUUACUGCAACAUAGUCAAUCAACCAUACUUCCAUAAAACUUAAAAAAAAAAAAGAAAACGAAAACAAAACCAAAAGAAUAAAACACGUGUGUGUGGAUAGUCCUGGAUCCUGAAGGUCAUCCUGGGCAGAAAAAAACGCCAUGGUCUUCCAAUUGCAGUGGACGUGUACUGCCUGAUAGCGGUCUUCUCUUCUGUUUUUUCCCUCCGUUUUGAUGCAAAAGGCAAAUGUCGCAGUCCAUGCUUUGUUCUGAAUAUCUGAAAGCACAGACAGGAAGGUGGGGAGGAAGAGAGGGGAAGGCUCUGGAUUCCAGAGACCCCCGGACUGCGGGAAAAGGAGGAUGGAAGCUAAGAAAGGAGGAUGGAAAAAAAAAAUGAAAACAGAUGGCGUUCCCACUGUGGCUCAGCAGUAACGAACCCCUGGCCCCGCUCAGUGGGUGAAGGAUCCGGUGUUGAAACGAGCUUCAGUGUAGGUCGCAGAGGUAGCUCAGAUCUGGCGUGGCGGUGGCCAUAGAGGAUGGAUUCAAUUUUAUGUGAAUUUGUCUAAGAACUUUUAUACAAGGCAUGAGGGGAUUACAGAGAAUUGAUGAAGUAACAACCACGGCUUUCGGGGAGCAAACACUCUGAGGAAGAGCACUGGCUGGUGAAGCAGCUGCAACAGAAAGCAGGACUAAACGACUACAGGCGGGGUCAGAGAGAAAAGACCAAUUGAGUUUUUCCUUUUUCAUUCGUAUGUAACAUUACUUAGCGGCUUUUUAAAAACUGAAAUAGAGUUGAUUUGCAGUACCGUGUUAGUUUCAGGUGUGCAACGAGGUGAUUCAGUUCUGUAUAUACAGAUUUGUCCAGAUUAUCUUCCAUUAUAGAUUAUUACAAGAUAUUGACAUUUUGACCUGCGGUCACGAGGGGGAGCUCCCUGGAGCUGAGGGCAUCUGCCCGGGCCUGUGUAGGAGAGAUGCGGGUAGAAAAAAAUCAGUCCUCCAUCCCACCCAGUGCCCCUCCCCCACCCACCUCUGGAAGGGACUUCUUGACCCCACACACCCUCGGAGCUUCGAAAUGUGGUUUCCAAAUGCCCAGCAAUGGACAGUGCCAACCCAAAGGAGCUGGCGUUGCCGUGAGCUGUGGUGUAGGUCACAGACAAGGCUCAGAUCCUGCGUUGCUGUGGCUGUGGUGUAGACCAGCGUCUGUAGCUCCGACUUGACCCGUCACCUGGGAACUUCUAUAUGCUGCGGGCGUGGGCCUAAAAGGUCAAAAGACGAACAAACAAACAAACAAAAAAUUAAAGCUCAUGAGCUUGGAAACUCUGAUUCCUGGAAGCCUGAUUACAAACAACCUGAGGGAAGCAUCCUGUUCCCUAAAGACAACCCAACCACAAGCAAUGAAGGAGGAGAGGAAAUCCAGAGGAAGGCCUGGGGUGACUGCAAACCCCAGAACGAGGGUGAUGCCCCGUUCUCUGGAACUGGAACAGUUUUCCUUCCACAUUCAUUAAAAAGUAUGGGCUACUAUACUGGCAGGAAAAAACAUAUGGACAUGUUCUAGGACAAAGCCAUCAAAUCUUUUAUCCCCUUGAACACUCAACAGAAUAAAUGGUUGCUACACCACAUGGGAGAAUGCUGAGUGCUUUGGGUUGGUGGAAAUGGGACAAGGUGUCACCAAACCAAGACACGGGCCACUGCUUUAAUGUGGUGCAUUCUGGAUGAGAAAGGAGCAGAGUGCCCCUUUCCUAUAUAAGGAAAGGUUCUAGAAAUGGGGUCUGUGGGCUGGCAGCAGCAGCAUCUCCCAGUUUGUUGGCAAGGCAGCCUCUCAAGCCCCACCUAAGACCUACUGAACCUGGAAUUCUAGUUGGGUUGCCCAGCCAUGUGUGUUUACAAGCCCUCCUGGUGAUGGAGAUGCAGGCUGAAGUUCGAGAGCCAGUGACAGAAGUCAUUACUUUGCAGUGAGUGACACGGAACCAAGAGCCUGACCCAGGGCCUCCGCCCUUAGGUGACCUAAAAAGGUAAAGGAUGACUCAGCUGACUUGCUGAUUGUGGCCAGGGCUGUGCUGAGAAGGCGGAGAGCAUAUCCAGGCACAGGGCAUGCCAAAGCUGGCCUAAUCCCGCCCUGGGCACCCUUUCUUCACCACCAGCCUCUCCCCACACCUGCCGCGGGGACUUGAUCUGCUAUGGUGGCACUGACACUGGGAAAAGACUGUGUCCUCUCCGACUCCCAAUCUAUUAUUAGUUCCAAUCCGCACAAAUCCACCAGUGCCAAAGGGAAGCUUUUGAGAACUUUGGAAGGUGGGUUAACUGUUUCAGUGCAGCCGCGGACCCAAGCAAUUGUCUGAGCCACUAGACACAGCCACAAGCUUCCCAGAGCGCCAGGGCCACCCCGCUGGGGAAUCCAGCCGGCUCCUCGGUUGGUCUGGCGGCAGAACGCUGGUCGGGAGCAGGUAGUCCCAACCUUCGUUCCUAAGGCCCAAGAUGUGUCUGACUUUUUUUUUUUUUUUUUUUUUUUUUUAAUAAAAAGCUGUUUAUGCACUUC